rnacentral:RNase_P_RNA from 1 species
UGAGUCGGCUGGGUGACCGCGGCACGGCAGCGACCGUGUCGAGGAAGGUCGGGGCUCCGCAGAGCAGGGUGCUGGCUAACGGCCAGUCGGGGUGACUCGCAGGACAGUGCCACAGAAAACAGACCGCCGAUGGCACCGGCUUCGGCCGGUGCACAGGUAAGGGUGAAACGGUGCGGUAAGAGCGCACCAGCACCCGGGGUGACCCGGGUGGCUAGGUAAACCCCACCCGGAGCAAGGCCAGAAGUGGGUACGGGCGGCUCGUCCGCUCCCCCGGGAGCAACCCACUGGUGGGCUGCACAGAUGGAUGGUCACCCAUCGGGACUCCGGCAACGGACCCGUGGACAGAACCCCGCCUACAGGCCGGCUCACCGU